rnacentral:rRNA from 1 species
UACGAAGGGGGCGAGCGUUGUUCGGAUUUACUGGGCGUAAAGGGCGCGCAGGCGGCUAUCCAAGUCAGGCGUGAAAGCCCCGGGCUUAACCUGGGAACUGCGUUUGAAACUGGGAGACUUGAGUGUGGCAGAGGGGGGUGGAAUUCCACGUGUAGCAGUGAAAUGCGUAGAUAUGUGGAGGAACACCGAUGGCGAAGGCAGCCCCCUGGGUUAACACUGACGCUCAUGCACGAAAGCGUGGGGAGCAAACAGG